CUGGCUCAGAUGAACGCUGGCGGCAGGCCUAACACAUGCAAGUCGAACGGUAACAGGAAGAAGCUUGCUCUUUGCUGACGAGUGGCGGACGGGUGAGUAAUGUCUGGGAAACUGCCUGAUGGAGGGGGAGUAACUACUGGAAACGGUAGCUAAUACCGCAUAACGUCGCAAGACCAAAGAGGGGGACCUUCGGGCCUCUUGCCAUCGGAUGUGCCCAGAUGGGAUUAGCUAGUAGGUGGGGUAACGGCUCACCUAGGCGACGAUCCCCUAGCUGGUCUGAGAGGAUGACCAGCCACACUGGAACUGAGACACGGUCCAGACUCCUACGGGAGGCAGCAGUGGGGAAUAUUGCACAAUGGGCGCAAGCCUGAUGCAGCCAUGCCGCCGUGUAUGAAGAAGGCCUUCGGGUUGUAAAGUACUUUCAGCGGGGAGGAAGGGAGUAAAGUUAAUACCUUUGCUCAUUGACGUUACCCGCAGAAGAAGCACCGGCUAACUCCGUGCCAGCAGCCGC
rnacentral:rRNA from 1 species